AUUUCUGUUCUCUCAUAGGUUGACACUGAAACUGCCAGACUUCAUCUACACAUGGUCACAGUGCUACCUAAUGGCUUGAUGUUUUCAUCUGGUCUCAAUGUGCAUGAUUAAGAUGUGGGAAAUCAUAGAUAGUAGUUGCCUGGAUUCCUAAAAACAUAAGGUAGAACAGGACACGGGAUCUGAAGCCCUGGAGAACCAUUCCAACAGAGACGAAGCUGAAUGCACAGCAUUCUGAAGCCAAAGACCAGUUUAAUAAUAGACAUGAAAUAAAUGGAAACUUGGGGAGAAGAAAGGCACAGAUCAGAAACAAGGUGAGAUUGAAAGCUUUUGAAAUAUCCAUCAAUUCAUAUUCAAAUGAUCUGUUUUAUGAGGACUGUUUCA